GCCAAGGCGCAAGCUUUAUUUAGCCGAAGAGUAACAAAGAAAGAAAAUACAGUUUUUAGAUAUAAAACUCUGCUAAUAACAAUGAGUAUCUAAUUCAUAAAUGUGCUCAAAUACAUUACUGUAUUGCAAUUGGGGUCUGUUUAAUUACCAUCCAUGAAUUGUAGCACUUUCUGGUAGAGAAAUAUAUAUUUUUUUAAAUUAUAGAAACAGCCAAGGUUAUUCACUAAUGCCUUGAUUGUCGGAAUAUAAUCUGAAUGUAAAUUUUGGUCCAAAAUAGACAUAUUUUCCAUAUUGUCCAGGUCACCAAAGGUUUCAUUUCAGCUAUAUUCACUUUGAAUCCCAACAGUUCACUAAUAAUUCACACGUCCAUGAUUAACCCUGUUUAUUUCCGUUUUGUUGGAUUCAUAAAUCAGAACACAGUUUUCCCCCAGAAUACCAGACAAUGUUUCUAAUAGCAACAUUAUAGCAACAAAGCACUUUUGUCUGUCUAAUACACGUUCAUGAUGUUGGUGUGGUUAAGUAUAUAGUUCCGUUGAUUGCUCAACCAAUUUACAGUGCACAGUGACGGAAUAUGCACAGGAUUUAUACACAGAGACAAGAUAGUUAUUUAUUAUUUCAUUAUUAUUUUACCUUACUUAUGUUGGUACAUGUCUGUGCACCUAUGUAUAUGCCUAUGCACUUGGCUAAAAAUCUGUAAAACUGGGAAAUAAAAAGGAUGUGUGUAGGCAAGGAAAUGGUCUGAAAGUUUAGAAUUAGGGAUUUAAAAAUGGCGAGGGGGAUGGGGGUUUAUUGACCCUAUAAACCAGGGGUUCUCAACCCAGUCCUCAGGACCCCCUACCAGUCCAGGAUUUGGGGAUUACCUGGGUGUGUCUCAGGUGUUUAGAAAAAGGGAAAAAAACACCUUAGACUCUAAGGUGUUUUUUUUUUCUUUUUCUAAACACCUUAGACACACCCAGGUAAUCCCUAAACCCUGGACUGGUAGGGGGUCCUGAGGACUAACGUUGAGAACCCCUGCUAUAAACACAUCCCAAGGCACUCAUAAAACAUCAUCUGGAAUUAUUUAUGGAUUGCCUUAGAAACUGCAAACUCUGAAAAGUUUAACCAGGAUUGUUAAUAUGGAGUGUCACAACUAGGCAAACAACAUGUUAAGUUAGUUGCGAGGGCUGUGAGUGUUGUGUGCGUGAAAAGCAACGUCUCUGGUAGUCAGAGGUAAAUCCAAAGGAUGAAUGUGAAAUGUAUUCAAGCUCUGGUUGCUAAAGUAUAUACACAUUAACAGGGUUAUUCACUGUAGUGAGCAUUGUUGGGAAUUCAAAUUUAAGGCCAAAGUAGUCAAACUGGAAAAUGAAUCUCCAAGUCAGCUAUGCUUCGAGUUUUGGUUACUCUGGCCUUAAAGGGACACUAUAGUCACCGAAACAACUUAAGCUUAAUGAAGCAGUUUGGGGUAUUUUUCAUGCCCCUGCAUUAUCACUGCUCAAUUCUCUGCCAUUUAGGAGUUAAAUCACUUUGUUUAUGAAUCCUAGCCACACCUCCCUGCAUGUGACUUGCAUAGCCUUCCUCAAAAUUUCCUGUAAAGAGUCAUCUACAGAUUAUCAUUCCUUUAUUGCAAGUUCUGUUUAAUUUAGAUUUUCUUAUCCUCUGCUAUGUUAUUAGCUUGCUAGACCCUGCAAGAGCCUCUUGUAUGUGAUUUAAGUUCAAUUUACAGAAAAAGAGAUACAAUUGUUUAAGGUAAAUUACAUCUGAUUGAAAGUGAAACCAGGUCUUUUUCAUGCAGGCUGUGUCAAUCAGAGCCUCGGGAGGUGUGACAAUGGCUGCAUAAACAGAAAAAGUGAUUUAACUCCUAAAUGGCAGAGAAUUGAGGAGUGAAACGUGAGAAGCAUGAUGAAGCAAGUUGUUUAGGUGACUAUAGUGUUCCUUUAAAUUUAAAAAUCCAUUUGAAUUCCUGACAAUUUUCCCUUUAGUGACUAACUCUUCAAGUCUUUAGAUUGUUGAUCAGCGCAUGCUUUACAUUUGAUUGAAAGACAAUCUGAUCAUUAGAUUCUUAGCUUGCACUAAAAUAAUUACAAUCUUUAAUUCAGAGCAAUACAAUCACACAAGCACUGCAGGGACAGCACUGAUGACCUCUUAUUACAAUUUACUAUAGUCUACAGAAAGCUGUAUUUAAAAUUUCAUUUUCACUAGCACAAUAUUUAAAAGCAACAGAGAUUGGAUCAUAAAGUGAGAAUAAAACCACCAUAGCUGCCUAUGUUUCUUGUUUAGAUUAUAAUACUACCAGCUCUUUUAUCCUUUUCUCUGUCAAUCGUGUUUUUAACAUUGCUGCAGCUAUAAGCCACACCUUUGAUUUCACUGAGGGAAACUAUGCUACACUUUGGCAGGACAAGUUCUUGCAUGAUGUGCACAAACAUUGCAGAAGUCCAGAGUACUUUUUAUGUCGACUCUGAUAUCUUUCCAUGAAAAAAACCUGUACGGCAGCAGUGCAUGAGUAUUCAUGAAAAUGUUUAAGGAAUUUGGUGAACAAAUGUCAGAUUAUGGCAUUAGCAGCUUGCUGAGUAGGUUUGUUAGUGUUUUUCCAUAUGUAUGAAUUCAGCCAAAUGCGGCAUGCAUAGGGAGUAGGAAGACCUCUACUAGGUGCAAACUCAGAGUAUUCCUCUUUUGCGAACUUGCAAGCCAUUCACAGCAUUGACACUGGUUACCGCGGUAACCCUCUGAUUCCCGGAGUUCCCUGGCUCACGAGAGGACUUCAUACAGCCUGCACCCAGCAGAGGUGCAGAGUGAAACACUGGAUCUGAAUAUUCC
rnacentral:lncRNA from 1 species